UCAUGUGUGUGGUGAUAAUGUCUUCAGUUCUCCUAAAUAGGACUUUAAUUUACUUCCAUAAAUGGAACAACCUGCAAACUGCAGGUUCCUGGAAGCCAGAU